rnacentral:rRNA from 1 species
GAGCGGGCAGACCCGUAGCAGCGGCGAGCGAAGCGGGAAGAGCUCAAAUUUAUAAUCUGGCACCUUCGGUGUCCGAGUUGUAAUCUCUAGAAAUGUUUUCCGCGUUGGACCGCACACAAGUCUGUUGGAAUACAGCGGCAUAGUGGUGAGACCCCCGUAUAUGGUGCGGACGCCCAGCGCUUUGUGAUACAUUUUCGAAGAGUCGAGUUGUUUGGGAAUGCAGCUCAAAUUGGGUGGUAAAUUCCAUCUAAAGCUAAAUAUUGGCGAGAGACCGAUAGCGAACAAGUACCGUGAGGGAAAGAUGAAAAGCACUUUGGAAAGAGAGUUAACAGUACGUGAAAUUGUUGGAAGGGAAACGCUUGAAGUCAGACUUGCUUGCCGAGCAAUCGGUUUGCAGGCCAGCAUCAGUUUUCCGGGAUGGAUAAUGGUAGAGAGAAGGUAGCAGUUUCGGCUGUGUUAUAGCUCUCUGCUGGAUACAUCUUGGGGGACUGAGGAACGCAGUGUGCCUUUUGGCGGGGGUUUCGACCUCUUCACACUUAGGAUGCUGGUGGAAUGGCUUUAAACGACCCGUCUUGACCGACGGACCAGAA